AACGAACGCUGGCGGCAUGCCUAACACAUGCAAGUCGAACGAAGGCUUCGGCCUUAGUGGCGCACGGGUGCGUAACGCGUGGGAAUCUGCCCUUGGGUUCGGAAUAACAGCGGGAAACUGCUGCUAAUACCGGAUGAUGACGUAAGUCCAAAGAUUUAUCGCCCAAGGAUGAGCCCGCGUAGGAUUAGCUAGUUGGUGGGGUAAAGGCCCACCAAGGCGACGAUCCUUAGCUGGUCUGAGAGGAUGAUCAGCCACACUGGGACUGAGACACGGCCCAGACUCCUACGGGAGGCAGCAGUGGGGAAUAUUGGACAAUGGGCGAAAGCCUGAUCCAGCAAUGCCGCGUGAGUGAUGAAGGCCUUAGGGUUGUAAAGCUCUUUUACCCGGGAUGAUAAUGACAGUACCGGGAGAAUAAGCUCCGGCUAACUCCGU
rnacentral:rRNA from 1 species